UCCCUAUCAUAGGCACAGGCAGAAUAAGCACGUUGUCAUCAUACAGGAGAACUGAAAGUCGUCUUUUGGUUCUGAUGGGUGAAAAUUGCUUUAUUGAAGUUUGGAUUGGAAUUAUAAUGGCUAUACCCCAGUCUUCUAGGAUAUGAGUGGUGUUGCCAAUAAAAGUGAAAAAUGCGAUAAGAAUGGAGGUCCCACCAGUCGGUGUUAUUUCUGAGAACUUCACUGGGAAUAAAGUCAUUAUCUAAGGCUU